rnacentral:rRNA from 1 species
UACGGAGGGUGCAAGCGUUGUUCGGAAUUACUGGGCGUAAAGGGCUCGUAGGCGGCCAACUAAGUCAGACGUGAAAUCCCUCGGCUUAACCGGGGAACUGCGUCUGAUACUGGAUGGCUUGAGUUUGGGAGAGGGAUGCGGAAUUCCAGGUGUAGCGGUGAAAUGCGUAGAUAUCUGGAGGAACACCGGUGGCGAAGGCGGGUCUCUGGGCCGAUACUGACGCUGAGGAGCGAAAGCGUGGGGAGCGAACAGG